AGAGUUUGAUUAUGGCUCAGAACGAACGCUGGCGGCAUGCUUAACACAUGCAAGUCGAACGCUAUUUUAUAGAGUGGCGCACGGGUGAGUAACACGUGGGAAUCUGCCCUUCUGCCUGGGAUAACAGUUGGAAACGACUGCUAAUACCGGAUACGCCCUUCGGGGGAAAGGUCCGCCGCAGAAGGAGGAGCCCGCGCUUGAUUAGCUUGUUGGUGAGGUAAUGGCUCACCAAGGCAACGAUCAAUAGCUGGUCUGAGAGGAUGAUCAGCCACACUGGGACUGAGACAUGGCCCAGACUCCUACGGGAGGCAGCAGUGGGGAAUAUUGGACAAUGGGGGCAACCCUGAUCCAGCAAUGCCGCGUGUGUGAUGAAGGCCUUAGGGUUGUAAAGCACUUUCACUGGUGAAGAUGAUGACGGUAACCAGAGAAGAAGCCCCGGCUAACUUCGUGCCAGCAGCCGCGGUAAUACGAAGGGGGCGAGCGUUGUUCGGAAUCACUGGGCGUAAAGGGAGCGCAGGCGGUUCAUUAAGUUAGGCGUGAAAGCCCCGGGCUCAACCUGGGAACUGCGCUUAAUACUGAUGAGCUAGAAAACAGGAGAGGGUAGUGGAAUUUCCAGUGUAGAGGUGAAAUUCGUAGAUAUUGGAAAGAACACCGGUGGCGAAAGCGGCUACCUGGCCUGAUUUUGAC
rnacentral:rRNA from 1 species